UACGGAGGGUGCGAGCGUUGUCCGGAAUCACUGGGCGUAAAGGGCGCGUAGGCGGCUUUGCAAGUGACGGGUGAAAGCCCUCGGCUUAACCGAGGAACUGCCUGUCAGACUGUGAGGCUUGAGACCGGGAGAGGUGAGUGGAAUUCCCAGUGUAGCGGUGAAAUGCGCAGAUAUCGGGAGGAACACCGGUGGCGAAGGCGGUUCUCUGGGCCUUACCUGACGCUGAGGAGCGAAAGCGUGGGGAGCGAACAGG
rnacentral:rRNA from 1 species